GUAGUCGUGGCCGAGCGGUUAAGGCGACAGAAUAGAGAUCUGUUGGGGUUUCCCACGCAGGUUCGAAUCCUGCCAACUACG
rnacentral:tRNA from 1 species